UUGAUAGGUUUGAUUUAAGUAAUGGUUAAUUUUUUUAAUCAGUUCAGAAGACAGUGCUCAAUUAAAAGCUUUGGGUAUUGCAGCAUGAAAUAAUGUCUUUUAACUAUUCUUACCUAUGCAAGUUUAUUUUUUGAGAUCGAAAAUGAAUUUUUAUUGAACAUUUUGAAUGUCCUUGGAAAGGUAGAUUGUAUGAAAAUUACCUUAUAAUUGCUCUCAUUAUUAUAUGUAAAGUUUGUUAUGGCCUAUUAUUGGGGAAUUUAGCAUAAUUUGAAGAAGUUAUAUUGAAGAGAUAAAUGUUACUGCAUUACAUAACACUUAUUGUGCAAAUUAGAUGUCCCUGAACUACACCAUGUGGCUGGGACAUUUCAAUGCUCAUCCUUUUUUUGAAUAGACAGCUUUAAUAGAUUAAUAACUAAAUGUUCUUGAUUACAUCCAGCUGAACAACUGUUGACACUACUGUCCCCCUUUUUAAACCUCACAAUAAAUAGGGUACCUGUCCGACAUUUAUUGAUAUAUUUCCCCUGCAUUUUGACUUCCUUUGUAAUAUUAUUAAAUAUCUUAUUACAAAAAGCCUUGUAGCGUUUCAUCCUAUUGAAUAGGCUGAGAUCAAGUUUGAAUAUAUCUUUUGUGAAAGAAUUUCAAUGGAAUAUAAUAGGUCCAAGGGCAGUUGUGUAAUGAGUUGAAAGACUGCGAUAUUCGAUGCACAGAAAUAAAUUCCUAUUAUUGAAGAUGUAAACGCUUGAAUGGGCUAAAAUUAGAAUUUAAAUACACUUAAAUUUUCUCAUGUGGAGAUGGAUACAAUGAUUAUUUAACAUUUAUACUAGUGAACAUUUUAUCAAUACAUUGCCUGCUUUGGUUUAUUGAGUGGUGUUAUCCAUUGAAAAGUAUAAUUGAGGGAACUAAUACCAAAAUAAGAAGGGAUUAGUUAGGUCAAACAGAACGACAUGUCAACAACUGGUAAAUAUAAGGGGGGAGCAUGGCUAAUAGGGGCAGUUACUUAAUAAGGGGUCAUCAGUGCUAGAGACUGUACUUAUAUGGUUGUAAAACGAAGGGUCAUUGCUACAUGGUAGCACUGCUAUGGUUGUAAAUAGAAGGGUCAUUGGUACAUGGGUAGCACUGAUAUGGUUGUAAAUAGAAGGGGUCAUUGCUACAUGUGUAGCACUGCUAUGGUUGUAAAUAGAAGGGGUCAUUGUGACAUGGGUAGCACUGAUAUGGUUGUAAAAAGAAGGGUCAUUGCUACAUCGGUAACACUGCUAUGGUUGUAAAAAGAAGGGUCAUUGCUACAUGGGUAGCACUGAUAUGGUUGUAAAUAGAAGGGGUUAUUGUGACAUGGGUAGCACUGCUAUGGUUGUAAAAAGAAGGGUCAUUGCUACAUCGGUAGCACUGCUAUGGUUGUAAAAAGAAGGGUCAUUGCUACAUGGGUAGCACUGCUAUGAUUGUAAAUAGAAGGGUCAUUGCAACAUAGGUAGCACUUCUAUGAUUGUAAAAAAAAGAGUCAUUGUGACAUGGGUAGCACUGCUAUAAUUGUAAAUAGAAGGGUCAUUGCUACAUGGGUAGCACUGCUAUGGUUGUAAAUAGAAGGAGUCAUUGCUACAUCGAUAGCACUGCUAUGGUUGUAAAUAGAAGGGGUCAGUGCUACAUGGAUAGCACUGCUAUGGUUGUAAGUAGAAGGGGUCAUUGCUACAUGGAUAGCACUGCUAUGGUUGUAAAUAGAAGGGUCAUUGGUACAUGGGUAGCACUGAUAUGGUUGUAAAUAGAAGGGGUCAUUGCUACAUGUGUAGCACUGCUAUGGUUGUAAAUAGAAGAAUCAUUGGUACAUGGGUAGCACUGAUAUGGUUGUAAAUAGAAGGGUCAUUGCUACAUGGGUAGCACUGCUAUGGUUGUAAAUAGAAGGGUCAUUGUUACAUGGGUAGCACUGAUAUGGUUGUAAAUAGAAGGGGUUAUUGUGACAUAGGUAGCACUGAUAUGGUUGUAAAAAGAAGGGUCAUUGCUACAUGGGUAGCACUGCUAUGGUUUUAAAUAGAAGGGUCAUUGGUACAUGGGUGGCACUGAUAUGGUUGUAAAUAGAAGGGGUCAUUGUGACAUGGGUAGCACUGAUAUGGUUGUAAAAAGAAGGGUCAUUGCUACAUGAGUAGCACUGAUAUGGUUGUAAAAAGAAGGGUCAUUGCUACAUGGGUAGCACUGAUAUGGUUGUAAAAAGAAGGGUCAUUGCUACAUGGGUAGCACAGAUAUGGUUGUAAAAAGAAGGGUCAUUGCUACAUGGGUAGCACUGAUAUGGUUGUAAAAAGAAGGGUCAUUGCUACAUGGGUAGCACUGAUAUGGUUGUAAAAGAAGGAUCAUUGCUACAUUGGCAGCACUGCUAUGGUUGUAAAUAGAAGGGUCAUUGGUACAUGGGUAGCACUGAUAUGGUUGUAAAUAGAAGGGGUCAUUGCUACAUGUGUAGCACUGCUAUGGUUGUAUAUAGAAGGGGUCAUUGUGACAUGGGUAGCACUGAUAUGGUUGUAAAAAGAAGAGUCAUUGCUACAUCGGUAGCACUGCUAUGGUUGUAAAAAGAAGGGUCAUUGCUACAUGGGUAGCACUGCUAUUAUUGUAAAUAGAAGGGUCAUUGCAACAUAGGUAGCACUUCUAUGAUUGUAAAAAGAAGGGUCAUUGCUACAUGGGUAGCACAGAUAUGGUUGUAAAAAGAAGGGUCAUUGCUACAUGGGUAGCACUGAUAUGGUUGUAAAAAGAAGGGUCAUUGCUACAUGGGUAGCACUGAUAUGGUUGUAAAAGAAGGAUCAUUGCUACAUUGGCAGCACUGCUAUGGUUGUAAAUAGAAGGGUCAUUGGUACAUGGGUAGCACUGAUAUGGUUGUAAAUAGAAGGGGUCAUUGCUACAUGUGUAGCACUGCUAUGGUUGUAUAUAGAAGGGGUCAUUGUGACAUGGGUAGCACUGAUAUGGUUGUAAAAAGAAGGGUCAUUGCUACAUGGGUAGCACUGCUAUGGUUUUAAAUAGAAGGGUCAUUGGUACAUGGGUGGCACUGAUAUGGUUGUAAAUAGAAGGGGUCAUUGUGACAUGGGUAGCACUGAUAUGGUUGUAAAAAGAAGGGUCAUUGCUACAUGAGUAGCACUGAUAUGGUUGUAAAAAGAAGGGUCAUUGCUACAUGGGUAGCACUGAUAUGGUUGUAAAAAGAAGGGUCAUUGCUACAUGGGUAGCACAGAUAUGGUUGUAAAAAGAAGGGUCAUUGCUACAUGGGUAGCACUGAUAUGGUUGUAAAAAGAAGGGUCAUUGCUACAUGGGUAGCACUGAUAUGGUUGUAAAAGAAGGAUCAUUGCUACAUUGGCAGCACUGCUAUGGUUGUAAAUAGAAGGGUCAUUGGUACAUGGGUAGCACUGAUAUGGUUGUAAAUAGAAGGGGUCAUUGCUACAUGUGUAGCACUGCUAUGGUUGUAUAUAGAAGGGGUCAUUGUGACAUGGGUAGCACUGAUAUGGUUGUAAAAAGAAGGGUCAUUGCUACAUCGGUAGCACUGCUAUGGUUGUAAAAAGAAGGGUCAUUGCUACAUGGGUAGCACUGCUAUUAUUGUAAAUAGAAGGGUCAUUGCAACAUAGGUAGCACUUCUAUGAUUGUAAAAAAAAGGGUCAUUGUGACAUGGGUAGCACUGCUAUAAUUGUAAAUAGAAGGAUCAUUGCUACAUGGGUAGCACUGCUAUGGUUGUAAAUAGAAGGAGUCAUUGCUACAUGGAUAGCACUGCUAUGGUUGUAAAUAGAAGGGGUCAGUGCUACAUGGAUAGCACUGCUAUGGUUGUAAGUAGAAGGGGUCAUUGCUACAUGGAUAGCACUGCUAUGAUUGUAAAUAGAAGGGUCAUUGGUACAUGGGUAGCACUGAUAUGGUUGUAAAUAGAAGGGGUCAUUUCUACAUGUGUAGCACUGCUAUGGUUGUAAAUAGAAGAAUUAUUGGUACAUGGGUAGCACUGAUAUGGUUGUAAAUAGAAGGGUCAUUGUGACAUGGGUAGCACUGAUAUGGUUGUAAAAAGAAGGGUCAUUGCUACAUGGGUAGCACUGAUAUGGUUGUAAAAAGAAGGGUCAUUGCUACAUGGGUAGCACUGCUAUGGUUUUAAAUAGAAGGGUCAUUGGUACAUGGGUGGCACUGAUAUGGUUGUAAAUAGAAGGGGUCAUUGUGACAUGGGUAGCACUGAUAUGGUUGUAAAAAGAAGGGUCAUUGCUACAUGAGUAGCACUGAUAUGGUUGUAAAAAGAAGGGUCAUUGCUACAUGGGUAGCACUGAUAUGGUUGUAAAAAGAAGGGUCAUUGCUACAUGGGUAGCACAGAUAUGGUUGUAAAAAGAAGGGUCAUUGCUACAUGGGUAGCACUGAUAUGGUUGUAAAAAGAAGGGUCAUUGCUACAUGGGUAGCACUGAUAUGGUUGUAAAAGAAGGAUCAUUGCUACAUUGGCAGCACUGCUAUGGUUGUAAAUAGAAGGGUCAUUGGUACAUGGGUAGCACUGAUAUGGUUGUAAAUAGAAGGGGUCAUUGCUACAUGUGUAGCACUGCUAUGGUUGUAUAUAGAAGGGGUCAUUGUGACAUGGGUAGCACUGAUAUGGUUGUAAAAAGAAGAGUCAUUGCUACAUCGGUAGCACUGCUAUGGUUGUAAAAAGAAGGGUCAUUGCUACAUGGGUAGCACUGCUAUUAUUGUAAAUAGAAGGGUCAUUGCAACAUAGGUAGCACUUCUAUGAUUGUAAAAAGAAGGGUCAUUGCUACAUGGGUAGCACAGAUAUGGUUGUAAAAAGAAGGGUCAUUGCUACAUGGGUAGCACUGAUAUGGUUGUAAAAAGAAGGGUCAUUGCUACAUGGGUAGCACUGAUAUGGUUGUAAAAGAAGGAUCAUUGCUACAUUGGCAGCACUGCUAUGGUUGUAAAUAGAAGGGUCAUUGGUACAUGGGUAGCACUGAUAUGGUUGUAAAUAGAAGGGGUCAUUGCUACAUGUGUAGCACUGCUAUGGUUGUAUAUAGAAGGGGUCAUUGUGACAUGGGUAGCACUGAUAUGGUUGUAAAAAGAAGGGUCAUUGCUACAUCGGUAGCACUGCUAUGGUUGUAAAAAGAAGGGUCAUUGCUACAUGGGUAGCACUGCUAUUAUUGUAAAUAGAAGGGUCAUUGCAACAUAGGUAGCACUUCUAUGAUUGUAAAAAAAAGGGUCAUUGUGACAUGGGUAGCACUGCUAUAAUUGUAAAUAGAAGGAUCAUUGCUACAUGGGUAGCACUGCUAUGGUUGUAAAUAGAAGGAGUCAUUGCUACAUGGAUAGCACUGCUAUGGUUGUAAAUAGAAGGGGUCAGUGCUACAUGGAUAGCACUGCUAUGGUUGUAAGUAGAAGGGGUCAUUGCUACAUGGAUAGCACUGCUAUGAUUGUAAAUAGAAGGGUCAUUGGUACAUGGGUAGCACUGAUAUGGUUGUAAAUAGAAGGGGUCAUUUCUACAUGUGUAGCACUGCUAUGGUUGUAAAUAGAAGAAUUAUUGGUACAUGGGUAGCACUGAUAUGGUUGUAAAUAGAAGGGUCAUUGUGACAUGGGUAGCACUGAUAUGGUUGUAAAAAGAAGGGUCAUUGCUACAUGGGUAGCACUGAUAUGGUUGUAAAAAGAAGGGUCAUUGCUACAUGGGUAGCACAGAUAUGGUUGUAAAAAGAAGGGUCAUUGCUACAUGGGUAGCACUGAUAUGGUUGUAAAAAGAAGGGUCAUUGCUACAUGGGUAGCACUGAUAUGGUUGUAAAAAGAAGGGUCAUUGCUAUAUGGGUAGCACUGAUACGGUUGUAAAUAGAAGGGGUCAUUGCUACAUGGGUAGCACUGAUAUGGUUGUAAACAGAAACAAUUCUAGGUUUUCCUUCCUUAUUGGAUGGAUCCUUUUCCCCUAGUCUUCUUAAUGAAUAUUUUCAUAUAAAUAGCAACAUAUUUUGCAUAUCUGUAUCAUUUUUAUACAACCGCAAAUUUUUUGUGUUCGUAUAAUAUUAUCAUGUUGUCUACAUCCUUGUUGUCCGAAGACAUUUGGUUUCCAGACAAGAACUUGAGUAUAAGUGUAUGGAUCUCUAUGAAAUUGUACCUCAAGGUUCCAUACCACAACAGGAAUGUUGGGAUCUAUCUUGGGGUUAUUGUUCUAACUGUUUAGGAAUUAGGGGCCAAAAACAAGCAUUUUUCUUGUUUCAGGACAAUAACUGUGUAUAAGUUUAUGGAUCUCUAUGAAAUUGUACCACAAGGUUUCAUACAUCAAAAGGAAGGUUAUGAUUGAUUUUUGGGUAUAUAGCCCAAACUAUUUAGGAAUUAAGGGCCAAAAAAUGGGCCAUAAAAACUAGGAUUUACAUGGUUCAGGACAAUAACUUGUGUAUAAGUGUAUGGAUCUCUAUGAAAUUGUACCACAAGGUUCGAUACCAAAAAAAGAAAGGUUGGGAAUGAUUUUUGGGGUUAUGGCCCUAACCGUUUGGGAAAAAGGGGCCAAAACCAUUACUUUUAUACGACGUCGUAUAUUGGUAUCACAUUGUCAUUGUCCGAAGACAUUUGGUUUCCGGACAUUAACUUUAGUAUUAGUAAAUAGAAAUCUAUGAAAUUUAAACAUAAGGUUUAUAACCACAAAAGGAAGGUUGGGAUUGAUUUUGGGGGUUAUGGUCCCAACAGUUUAGGAAUUAGAGGCCAAAAAGGGGCCCAAAUAAGCAUUUUUCUAGUUUCAUGACAAUAACUUGUGGAACAGUGUAUGGAUCUCUCUGAAAUUAUACCACAAGUUUCCAUACCACAAAAGGAUGGUUAGGAUUGGCUUUGGGGGUUUAUGGCUCAAACCGUUUUGGAAUUGGGGGCAAAAAAGUGAGAAAAAACAAGGGUGUCCUGGUUAAUGGACAAUUACUUAAGUACAAAUUACAGUGUAAGGGAGGUAAUUCAAAUACAACUUUGAAUUACCUCCCUUACACUGCUUUCAAAUUAUGUAUCAAGAAUUUUUAUAUUGUCUUGAGGUGAUUAGCUGUCAAUUCAUUUUUAGAAGUUACUAUUUAAUAAUUUUAAAAAUGCUGAUUAAGGUAAAUUAAUUUAAGCUAUGAUUAUGUAUGUCAUUUUCUGAUUCAAAUCAAUUAACCAAUUCUAAGUUCUUUAACUACAGUUAUUCUGUGUCAGAAACCUAUUAUGCGUCAAAUAAUGAAUUACUAUCCAAAUUCAGACCUGUAUCAAGCACGAGUAUUGUGUCCAUUUUUGCCCAAACUGUUCAGGGUUGGACCUCUGCG